UCUGUGGCUCUACAAAUCUAUGUGAUGUGAACUGGUUAGACCAUAUGAAAAAUUCCAAACAGUAGGAGAUGUUGGUUAUGUUUUUGCUUGGCCUUGCUCACAUGUAAGUAUGUUUCCAUACAAGCAUCGAGUGUGCUCCAAUAUCCACGUUUAAGAUACUGUAGUUAUCAAAAUCUUUGUGGCUUUUAGGUACAAAAAACUAUGCCAACCAUUCAAACAAAGCAUUUGUAUGAUACACUUCUUAUAAUUUAUCAAAGAACAUCUUAUCUUGCACUUGCCUAAAACAUUGUUCAUUUUCAUUUUCAGGGUGGUUGAGGAUUUGAAAAGAGAGUGCAUUAAGGGAGCCAGGAGUAAUUGGGUAGUUGAGGAUUUGAAAAGGGAGUGCACUGAAGGAGCUAGGAUCAGUUGAUGAACCAGUCUGUGAAUAAACAAGUAUUGUGGCUUAUGUUAUAUUUUAGCUUAAUUGAGAACCAUAGUUCUAGACUAUAGGAUAUUUUCUUAUUUAUUUGCAUGUUCUGUAUGAAUAUCUGUUAAUAUUCAAUUGUGAAAUUCGGUGUAAGUAUCUAUUCGGGCUGAUUAUUCUACUCAGCUUGCCUUUUUUUAGGGGAACUCAGCUUGUCAAUUUUGAUAACGUGAAGUUUGCAAAUGCAAUCUAUGGCGUGGAAUCGUG
rnacentral:lncRNA from 1 species